rnacentral:rRNA from 1 species
GGGUGCGAUCAUACCAGCGUUAAUGCACCGGAUCCCAUCAAAACUCCGCAGUUAAGCACGCUUGGGCUAGAGUAGUACUGGGAUGGGUGAAUUUCAUGAUCAUGAUUUCAAGUGGGUGGAAGACC